UCAAAUUCACCUUUAGUUGCAUGUACUUUUCAUCCUUUUGAAUUCAAAACAAAGCUGAAGCUAUUUUUUUUUCACGUGAACAUUGUUGUUGCACUUUAUAUAAAUGCACCAAUUCUUCCCGCACGAAUUUCGGAAAUCACCAGCUAAGUUCCCAAUUCCAGUUGUACUAAAUCACAGCUGAUGUUUGUGCUCACCAAAUUCUCAUCAAAUUCAUGCUGCCAUUUCAAACAGUUCCUUCCACCAAGAAUAACAAAGAUCAAAUGAAAAUUCAGAGGCACAGUUUCAAUUAGAAACUACAACAGCAAAAACCAGAAAACAAAAAGUUUGAUUCCAAAUAAACUGCACUAAAACAAUUUAUCAUACACUUUCUAGCAGCUGUCUAAAACUGUUAAACCAAAAAAUUAUGCACCCAAAUCUUCACUCAAUCAGAACACCAAUUUAGCUUUUGCACUAGGAAUCACAAAUUCAAAUUCAAGUGAUUAAAGCCAUGAAAUCUGCAGUAAAACUUUCCACCAAAGUUCAUUAAACAACACUGAAACAACCAGCAAAAUAUCAACAACUUCAAAAUUCGCACCGAAACAGCCAAACUGCACCAAUUCUAGAAUUGGAGUCAAAUUAUCAAACAGAUGGUAUACUAAAAAUAAAAAUCUGCACCAAUUCUAAAUCACCAAUGUUGCCUCUGCUUUGGUUCAAAAUAAGAUCAAAUUAAUGCACCAAACAAUUCUUUCCACCACGAACACUAAAAUCUCCCUAAACAAUACUUGUUCCAACUUGAAUUUGUAGCUGCUUCGCUUGGAAAAAUCUUAGGUCACGAACAACACUGCUUCCAACAAUUCCACUAAAUGGAUUUAUGCUGCUUCAGUGAAGAACAACGAAACAGUUCCGAUUAGCACUUUUCCAAUGCGAUUCUAGAUCCAGUGGGGAUGUAAACUUAUGUUUCCGCUGGAAACCACAACAUCUCUGUUUCGCAAUCACUACUCAGUGUUCUCAGAUCACAGGAUUUAAAAAUCGAUUCAGAGAAUGAAGAAUAAUAAGAUUAUAAAUGCAUCGAAAACUCACCUGAAAUGCCACUUCUGUUCACCAAUUUAGGUUACCGGAAACGUAAAAACCUUCAUCCACUGAUUCUGUUCACCGGAAGCCGCAAAACCUCCUUACACCAAUUUCGUUCUCCAAAAACUACAAAACACCUCCGUUCGAGAUUCCUCUAACACCGCACCGCUUCAAUUAGAUUUCACACCGAACAAUUUUUUCGUCAAAAUUUUGUUUCUCAGUUUCGCACCAAACUCAGCUCACAUGUUUUCAAAAUCACAUUAAGAAUGAAGAACAAGAUGAACAAAUUGAAAACGCAUAUGAACGUGAACGAGCAACAAUUUUCGUGAAAUUUUGACAAUAGAAACAGAAUCAGAACUGCUAUUUGCACCACAGAUCCAAUGAGAUCUCACAAACAGAUCCAGAUUACUCUUCACAUCUUGAAAUUUCUUUUUAAACCACGAACAAUUUUUGGAAAAAAUUUAGAGAAUUUUCGAAAAUGAAUUUUGAGAGAAUGAUAAUGGAACCCUAACUCAAAGAAAAUUGCUAAUGAUCUAGUAGCAAUUUAUGAACUCAAAAACGAAAAUCAAAAGCACUCAAGAGCUCUAAUCUAUGAAGAAAUUUGAAAAAAAAUCAAAAAGUUUAACCAAUGAAUUUUGUGACAAUUUUUGGACUAAACAUGACUCCGGACAAAACAUUUAUGUCAAAAUGACUCAAAUAUAAGAAAAUUUCACCAAACAAAUUUGAAGAAAACUCAAAAAGUUCAAAAGCACACAUGAACAUGAACACAAGAACACCUAAAAAUAUAUACAUGAAGUUUCAAGUAAGAACAACUAAUUUGAACGGAACAAAAACACAAAAUCAUGAAAAACAAAAUAUGAAAACAACGCGAAAUUAUGAAAAAAAGUAGAAGAAAAUCUUACAACCAUAGCUCUCAAUACCAAAUGAUGGAAAAAAACUCUUCUUCUAAUAGUGAUCUUUGUAAUUUCUUCUUUGAUGGAUGAUGAAGGAGUUUUGAGGAGCGGAAGCAUUAAAGAAAUGCAAGAGGAGUUUCCAUGGAUUGAAAUGGAGUUAGGAAUUUGUGAGAGUGAGAGGUGAGGCCAACUCACUAGAAAAGAGUCUAGGUUAAGUCUUGA
rnacentral:lncRNA from 1 species